ACGGAAGGCAGCAGUGGGGAAUAUUGGGCAAUGGAGGCAACUCUGACCUAGCAACGCCGCGUGAAUGAGGAAGGCCUUCGGGUUGUAAGGUUCUUUAAUUGGGGACGAAGAAAGUGACGGUACCCAAGGAAUAAGCCACGGCUAACUACGUGCCAGCAGCCGCGGUAAUACGUAGGUGGCAAGCGUUGUCCGGAAUGACUGGGCGUAAAGGGAGCGUAGGCGGCGCAACAAGUUAGGAGUGAAGUCCCGAGGCUUAACCUCGGAACUGCUUUUAAAACUGUUGUGCUCGAGUGAUGGAGAGGAAAGCGGAAUUCCUAGUGUAGCGGUGGAAUGCGUAGAUAUUAGGAGGAACACCAGAGGCGAAGGCGGCUUUCUGGACAUUAACUGACGCUGAGGCUCGAAAGCGUGGGGAGCAAACAGGAUUAGAUACCCUGGUA
rnacentral:rRNA from 1 species